GGAAGAUCCUAUUGGCAAUGAUCAUCAUUAUUUCACAAAUUUAAGGGGUAGAUGUUCAUCAUCCUGUUCAUGAAAUUUGAGCACAUAAUCACGCAUUUUUUUCCCCAGUGCUUGGGGCCCUGCAAGCUACAAGUCAGGACAUUAGAGAUGCAAUUCUGAAAGAUUCAAAGGCUAAAAAGCACGCUGGCCUUCGGCUAUUCAUGGCAUGGCUUGGCAGCUUCAUUUAUUAAAAUGCAACUUGUUGAACUGAAUUAUGGAAAGUGAGAAUGCUGUACGUCUUUUUUGUUUUUGCAUAGAAAUAAUAGAGAGGAAGAAAACAAAAAGCA
rnacentral:misc_RNA from 1 species